UAGAAAUUAAAAUAGUAAAAUUAAACACAAAGAGAUAUGCGAAAUAAAAUGCCAGAAAAUAAAAAGAGAAAAACUAUGAUCGGGCAAGCAUUCCGGAUUUUUGCCACUCCCGGCGAUGUUGGUGGCAGCGACGUAUGUUGAUGGCGAUGGAGCUGCAAAGGUAGAGAAGUCCCCGAGCAAUUCCUUUGAUAACGUUGAAGCGCUUUGUCCAAUCAAGGAGCAUGUGUUUUAGGUUUUGAAAUGCAAAUGACUUCAUUUUUAUGCAACAGAGGAGUUUCACAAGAUUCCGGUGAUGAGGUCUUGAAUUGCAAAUGACUUCAUUUUUAAACUCAUCAACUCCUUGGUCAGAUGUCUUGGAGAGACGUUUAACUGCAAUGUGCAGGCCUUCUAACACACCCUGAAGAUUACCAUUUUCACUCCUAAGAGCUUCACAAGAUUUCGGUGCUGUAGUCUUGAAAUGCAAAUGACUUUAUUCUUGAACUCAUCAACUCCUUGGUUAGAAGUCUCGGAGAGACGCUUAACUGCAAUCUCUAUCCCUUCUAGCACACCCUGAAGAUUACCAUUUUCAGUGUGAGUAACAUCACAAACUUUAAAUACAAUGUAUGUUGUGUAGAGUAGUUCUAUUUUUUUUAUAAAUAUUAUGAAGUACCUUAUAAACUGGCCCAAAUCCACCUUCUCCAAGUAUAUUGUCAGUUGAAAA